AUGAACGCUGGCGGCGUGCCUAAUACAUGCCAGUCGAGCGAACAGAUGAGGAGCUUGCUCCUCUGACGUUAGCGGCGGACGGGUGAGUAACACGUGGAUAACCUACCUAUAAGACUGGGAUAACUUCGGGAAACCGGAGCUAAUACCGGAUAAUAUAUUGAACCGCAUGGUUCAAUAGUGAAAGACGGUUUUGCUGUCACUUAUAGAUGGAUCCGCGCCGCAUUAGCUAGUUGGUAAGGUAACGGCUUACCAAGGCAACGAUGCGUAGCCGACCUGAGAGGGUGAUCGGCCACACUGGAACUGAGACACGGUCCAGACUCCUACGGGAGGCAGCAGUAGGGAAUCUUCCGCAAUGGGCGAAAGCCUGACGGAGCAACGCCGCGUGAGUGAUGAAGGUCUUCGGAUCGUAAAACUCUGUUAUUAGGGAAGAACAAAUGUGUAAGUAACUAUGCACGUCUUGACGGUACCUAAUCAGAAAGCCACGGCUAACUACGUG
rnacentral:rRNA from 1 species